AUGAAUGAGGCCCUCUGGCCUUGAUCCCACGCCUCUCUUGCUGUGCGCCUCUCGGGGCUGCACGCUUGAGAACACGUGAUUCUCACACCUGUGCACCUUUGGAAACGAGAAAUUCCAUUUCUCGAGUCUGCCCACACACUCUGUAUCAGUCACGAAAGUCAUCCAUUUCUUUAAAGAAAAAUAC
rnacentral:misc_RNA from 1 species